UCCCUGGUAUCUCAGUUGGUAAAGAAUCCGCCUGCAACACGGGAGACCUGGGUUCGAUCCCUGGGUUGGGAA
rnacentral:tRNA from 1 species